rnacentral:rRNA from 1 species
AAAACAGGCCUACGGGAGGCAGCAGUGGGGAAUUUUGGACAAUGGGGGCAACCCUGAUCCAGCAAUGCCGCGUGAGUGAAGAAGGCCUUCGGGUUGUAAAGCUCUUUUGUCAGGGAAGAAACGGUGAGAGCUAAUAUCUCUUGCUAAUGACGGUACCUGAAGAAUAAGCACCGGCUAACUACGUGCCAGCAGCCGCGGUAAUACGUAGGGUGCAAGCGUUAAUCGGAAUUACUGGGCGUAAAGCGUGCGCAGGCGGUUGUGUAAGACAGAUGUGAAAUCCCCGGGCUCAACCUGGGAAUUGCAUUUGUGACUGCACGGCUAGAGUGUGUCAGAGGGGGGU